rnacentral:rRNA from 1 species
GUCACUGCUAUCCGGAUCCGACUAAGCCAUGCAAGUCUUGGUGUUCAACUCUGGACAUCAGGGCGGAAAGCUCAGUAACACGUAGUUAACAUGCCCUCAAGUCUGGGAUAAUCACGGGAAACUGUGGCUAAUACCAGAUAGAUAAGAACUACUGGAAUGUGUUCUUGUCCAAAGCUUCGGCGCUUGAGGAUUGGACUGCGUCGGAUUAGGUUGUUGUGAAGGUAAAAUCUUCACGAGCCGAUAAUCCGUACGGGCCUUGAGAGAGGGAGCCCGGAGAUGGAUUCUGAGACAAGAAUCCAGGCCCUACGGGGCGCAGCAGGCGCGAAACUUUCCCAAUGCACGCAAGUGUGAGGAAGGGAUCUGGAGUGUCUUCUCUUACUAAGGGGAGACUUUUGUGGAGUGUAAAUAGCUUCACGAAUAAGUGGUGGGUAAGACGGGUGCCAGCCGCCAUGCUGGUAGCAGCUUUAUACUGCUGCCGACACGGUAAGCGGUAAUACCCGCGCCACGAGUGGUGACCACGUUUAUUGGGCUUAAAGCAUUCGUAGCCGGUUCAGCAAGUCUCUAGUGAAAUCCCGCAGUCAACUGUGGGGCUUGCUAGAGAAACUGCUGGACUUGGGACCGGGAGAGGUCGAGGGUAUUCCAGGGGGAGGGGUAAAAUCCUGUAAUCCCUGGGAGACCACCUGUGGCGAAGGCGCUCGACCAGAACGGAUCCGACGGUGAGGGAUGAAAGCCAGGGGAGCAAAGGGGAUUAGAUACCCCCGUAGUCCUGGCUGUAAACGAUGCCCACUAGACGUUGGCAAUCUUACGGGGGUUGCCAGUGCCGUAGCGAAAGCGUUAAGUGGGCCGCCUGGGGAGUACGGUCGCAAGGCUGAAACUUAAGGGAAUUGGCGGGGGAGCACACAAGGGGUGGAGGCUGCGGUUU